rnacentral:rRNA from 1 species
GGGCGUAGAGGGCUCGCAGGCGGUUUCUUAAGUCUGAUGUGAAAGCCCCCGGCUCAACCGGGGAGGGUCAUUGGAAACUGGGGAACUUGAGUGCAGAAGAGGAGAGUGGAAUUCCACGUGUAGCGGUGAAAUGCGUAGAGAUGUGGAGGAACACCAGUGGCGAAGGCGACUCUCUGGUCUGUAACUGACGCUGAGGAGCGAAAGCGUGGGGAGCGAACAGGAUUAGAUACCCUGGUAGUCCACGCCGUAAACGAUGAGUGCUAAGUGUUAGGGGGUUUCCGCCCCUUAGUGCUGCAGCUAACGCAUUAAGCACUCCGCCUGGGGAGUACGGUCGCAAGACUGAAACUCAAAGGAAUUGACGGGGGCCCGCACAAGCGGUGGAGCAUGUGGUUUAAUUCGAAGCAACGCGAAGAACCUUACCAGGUCUUGACAUCCUCUGACAAUCCUAGAGAUAGGACGUCCCCUUCGGGGGCAGAGUGACAGGUGGUGCAUGGUUGUCGUCAGCUCGUGUCGUGAGAUGUUGGGUUAAGUCCCGCAACGAGCGCAACCCUUGAUCUUAGUUGCCAGCAUUCAGUUGGGCACUCUAAAGUGACUGCCGGUGACAAACCGGAGGAAGGUGGGGA